AUGUUUUUCAAUGCAUUCGAGACCAACCAUACCACUAUUCAGAUAUCUGGGCGAUGGCAAAUGUGUUUCCAUCCACAGUUGUAACAACAUAUUGCACACUUCAAAUAACUUUCUUCCUUCUCGACAAUGGGUCAGAGCUCGGUACAUUUCAGCCAAGAUCAUCAAAACUAUGGUCCCAUUGGCCUUUUUUAUCAUUAAGUCAGCUAUCCCUACGAGUCCCAACUCUAUAUUCCCAUCUUUUAUGGGGCAAACCAAAACUCCCAAGAACGCUAUUAUAAAAGCUAAUCCUCUCCACGCUUCCCACUCGUCUUAGUUUCUUGCGUGAGUAAGACUGGUAUCUGGUGUCUCGAAGCCACGAGGAUUCCCGUAACGUCAGUACAAUAAAUAGAAGGUACAGAAUCCCUUGGACAAAUUUCCAUCUCGGAUGUCCCGACUGAUGCUUAACAAAUCCAAGAAUUUGUGAGCGAUUACUGUUCUUGGUGCUACCGGUAUUGGUUUCUAAUAUUCUCUUCAAAACUGGCGUAGACUACUAUCUCUUCCAAGGUAGGAGUUAAUUCGAAGCCAGCAAAGUGGAAUACAUUAUGUGCUGGAUCCCAGAAUGGUAUCAUUGCCUCAAUUAUGUCCUUUCUCGG
rnacentral:lncRNA from 1 species